GGCCUUCGGGUUGUAAACCUCUUUCGCCGGGACGAAGCGGCCGUGACGGGACCUGCAGAGGAAGCGCCGUACCCCUACGGGCCACCCGCC
rnacentral:rRNA from 1 species